UAUUAGCUCAGGUGGUUAGAGCGCACCCCUGAUAAGGGUGAGGUCCCUGGUUCGAGUCCAGGAUGGCCCACCUGAAAAAAGGAGUCAGAAGUCAGGAGUCAGAAGUCAGGAGAAAUAAAUUCUGAAUUCUGGGUGCUGAAUACUGAGUUCUUGAUUUUGGGGGUUUAGCUCAGUUGGUAGAGCGCCUGCUUUGCAAGCAGGAUGUCAGCGGUUCGAGUCCGCUAAUCUCCACAUUGGAAAAAGUCAGCAACUGAAGUGAGUAAAAUCACUCAGACUGCUGGUGAAAGCCAGUCAGAACCUUGAAAACUGCAUAGUAACGCGAAGCAGGCAGACACAGACAUGAGAAUGGAUGUGGAUGCUGGAUAAACCAAUGAAUUUGU
rnacentral:tRNA from 1 species